rnacentral:rRNA from 1 species
GAACUUAGCAGAGAUGCUUUGGUGCCUUCGGGAACUCUGAGACAGGUGCUGCAUGGCUGUCGUCAGCUCGUGUUGUGAAAUGUUGGGUUAAGUCCCGCAACGAGCGCAACCCUUAUCCUUUGUUGCCAGCGGUUCGGCCGGGAACUCAAAGGAGACUGCCAGUGAUAAACUGGGAGGAAGGUGGGGAUGACGUCAAGUCAUCAUGGCCCUUACGAGUAGGGCUACACACGUGCUACAAUGGCGUAUACAAAGAGAAGCGACCUCGCGAGAGCAAGCGGACCUCAUAAAGUACGUCGUAGUCCGGAUUGGAGUCUGCAACUCGACUCCAUGAAGUCGGAAUCGCUAGUAAUCGUGGAUCAGAAUGCUACGGUGAAUACGUUCCCGGGCCUUGUACACACCGCCCGUCACACCAUGGGAGUGGGUUGCAAAAGAAGUAGGUAGCUUAACCUUCGGGAGGGCGCUUACCACUUUGUGAUUCAUGACUGGGGUGAAGUCGUAACAAGGUAGGCGUAGAUGA